rnacentral:piRNA from 1 species
UGAGAUCAAUCCAGGAGACUCUGGA